rnacentral:lncRNA from 1 species
AAAUACUAAAUCAUGAUAGUGAAUUCAUCACUCAACAGAGGCAACAAGUAGAGCUAUUAUAACAACUUCUGUAUAUAUUUAGAGAGAAAUCUAGGGGCUAUCCAGCUUUCUUUUAACAUUUAUUUUUAAGCCUUGAAAAUAACAUGCAAAUUCAGCAGUACAAUGACAUAAUAUUUCUUAUAUUCAAUGUAUCCGUUAUAACCUCACUGCUGUGGCAUGGGUUCGAUGCCUGGCCUGGGAACCUCCACAUGACUCAGUUGCAGCCAAAAAAAGAGAGAGAGUAAAGCAUGUAGAAGCUGCAAGGUAUGCAUUAAGUGCUCGAUAAACCUUGGCCAUUAUUAUUAUUUUAUAAUCAGGCAAUUAUUUUUCCUAUCUUAUUACUUGUCUUCUUUAUAAAUGGCCCCAAAUAGCUUAAUUGAAAUUAAUGUAGCAGGACAGAAGUAGGCUUUAAACCAAGAGGCAAAAAUUCGUCUUUUUCUCACUUUUAAAGUGGAAGAGAAUAAUGCUUCUUGCCCGUGCCUAGCAGGGAUCCUUUGGAAGCAAAUGAGGUUUUGCACCUGAAAGGACUCUGAAAACCCAGACCUCGUGGCUCUUUGACUUGUAUAAAUUCAGUUACUUGCGAUUGACCCCAGAGGUCCUUACAAUGAAUAUGUUUCUAAUUUUAUUUAAACACAAAUUUGAAUCUACAUGUUUCCUAAGUUAAAAAAGUUUCUGCUGUUUUAAAAAGUGUAUUUAGCUACUGCCGGUAUGUGUACCUAAAUCACUUGGCUAGUAGGUAUUUUUGAAGAUAGGCCAUAAUGAGAGUGAGGAAGAGGGGAUAAAGGGGGCCAACCCAGUGUGUCCUUCUUGCAUGUCAAAUGCAAUCACAAAUAUCAAUAUUCUUGCAUGGGGAUGAGGAGGAGAGAUCCCUAGGGGAGCUGAAAUCCUAUGGUCCUGGGUAAGCACUGUCCACUGUGGUUAGAGAAUUAGGAAGAUGCAGCACUGGCCUGAGUCAGCCAGUCAGAAAGGCUGAAGGAAGGAGAAAGAAGCCCUGGCCAAACGCACCUGUUGGCUUAUUGGCCACCAUUCAGAAACACUCUCACAAACUUGGGUGGCAUCAUUUAAAAUCACCAGUUAUUGCCCUACUGCUCUUUACAGGGUAAAUUAUAAGCUAUAGCAGUACCUACAGAUUUAGGGAUUUGAGAUCCUCUGAAGAAAUCUAAAGGGCUAUAAGUUCAUCCUGAAGCUUUAAAAGGACCCACAUGUCUCAUAUUUGGAACAAACUUUUAAAAUGGUAUAGGAUAAGAAACCAUAUACCUAUGAAAAGACAAUUUCCAUGUCAUUUAUCACAUGUUAAUUGGUUUGGAAAAUGUAUUUUCCUCCUCCAUAUCAGCAGCUGCCUUUUUUUUUUUUUUUUUUUUUUUGUCUUUUUCUCUCUUGGGGGCCACGCCCACGGCAUAUGGAGGUUCCCAGACUAGUGGUCCAGUCGGAGCUACAGUUGCAGGCCUGCAUCAUAGCUACAGCAACACAGGAUCUGAGCCACAUUUUGUGACCUACACCACAGUUCAGAGCAAGGCCAGAUCCUUAACCCACUGAGCAAGGCUAGGGAUCGAUUCCACGUCCUCAUGGAUGCUAGUUGGGUUCGUUAACCACUGAGCCAAGACGGGAACUCCACUUUUUUUUUUUUUUUUUUUUUUUAAUGACUUUACCACCUAUCACCAGACAUUGUCUGUUGAGCUGUUCCUUAGUUAUGCAGCUGAAUGAUGAUGGCUGACUUCUUAAGAAGGCAAGAUUAGAAACUUGCUGACGAAGUUGCGGAGACACCAAGAGGCUUAUAUGGCAUCGCCCAAUUCACUCUUCAUCAGUAGAUGUAUUUCAGACACAGCUGCUCUAGUUGAUAGAGAAGUUCGGCCUUUGUCGCUGUAAUGUUUGCCAUACACGUGCUACAGAGAACACGAAGCUUAAAAGAAAUACAUAGUAGGUUAAUUAAAAUUUCAUUAAAUAAAUUGCUGGUCCUAGUUUAUAAUUCUGAUUCUCAGACCCUGUCUGGUUUCUGCCCCGUGGCACAAUAAUCAGGCUUAUGCCCUUAGCAAUUUCUCAUGAAAACCUGGAUUUCCAAUGAACCUAUAUAAAUUUUGGAUGUAAUGAUGGUACUUUUCCUCAGGCAUUGCUAAAUGACUUUAUUUUCAUAGAUUUUACUUUGUUUCAAAUUAUUCCCUUCCCUGAGAAGAAUUUCAGGGUUGCCAAAGUUCAGAACCCUGACCAGUGGUCCCAAAGUCAAAAUAGAAUACACAUGACCUCUUGCUUAUAAGAUAGUUGCACAUUUCAUUAAAGUAGUCAUGAUACUGAGACUUGCUCAGCUGGCGCACAUGGAUGUGAGAGGAGCUGUAAGAAUGGAAAUGACCUGUAAGAUUGUACCAAGGACAAGAAGAGAAAUGAAUUGGCAGUGAAAGGAAGUUUGCUCGAGGUUUUUUUUUUUUUUCCCCCCACCUAGUGAGAUCUCUGAGAAAGUCAUGACAUGCUAUAACAAAGCCCUACCUCUUCCUGUCUCUUCGUGCUUGUUUCCUUGCAUUCAGCCUAAGCCGCCUCUCACCUGGCCACCUGUGAAUGCUCCAGCACAAUAAGCCGGAGUGCCUUUGACCUUGACAUUCCCUUUCUUGGAAAACCUGGCCUUGCACUUCUGACUUGCUGCUCACUUCUUUCAGAUCUCUAUUCCAGUAUCUCACCUUGAAAGGUCUUGCCUCUCCACUCUGCUAAAAUAGCCCCCCCUUCUAUCCCUGCUACUCUUUUCUUUAUUCUUCCUGAAACUAUUUCUCUUUAUCUGGCUGACAAUAACUUUUUUUUACUGGUUCAUUAUUUCAAAGUUCAUCUCCUCCACUAGAAUCUGAGCUCCAUAGAGGCAGAGUUUGUUGUAUUCCCAGAGAAGUUUCUGGUAUAGAAGAGAUGCUCGGAACGUAUGUCUUGAGUGAAUGAAUCAUUUGUAGCCAUACAGUUCAAAUCCUAGGUUACCUGAUUUCUGAGAUUGUUUCCUGAUCCUUAAAUUGAGAAUAAGACUUUUUCUGCUUCCAAACUACUGUGAAAAAUCAAGUAGAAUUAUUUAUGUAGAAGGACUUAUAAUCCAUAAAGCCCUGUAUAAAAGUUAGUGAAUGUCAAGAACUGUAGUAUGAUGCAAAAUUAGCUUACCCCGAAUUCAAGGUCAGGCUUCUAAUGGGGGCUUUGUCAUUUAGUACGGCAUGUGUCUUUGAACAGGUAUACAGCCCUCUGCACCUCAUUCUCCUUCUCUGCUGUAAGAAUGAAAUGAGAUGAUGUAUAUGUAUGUACUUGAUCAGCUGUAGAGCAGUACAGGACAAUACCACAUUAUCACUUGUCUGUAUAGAGCGGAACCACUCCCCUCACUGCCUUUAUCCCUGGUAUCCCCUGUUUAUAUAUAUGUAAAUAUGAAAAGGUAUUACAUGAGGGGGAAAGGUAAGCAACUUCUUCUGUUGUUAGGCUAGUGCUUUCCCAGAGGUGGAAAGAGUAUAUUCUCUAAAUAAAUAAGUUUAUAUGCAACUCAUGUCACCACAAUGCCAAAACUUAUUUAUUUUUUUAAAUUUAUCCUAUUUUAUUUAACUUAUUGAUGUAUACCAUGUUACAUAUGUUACAGGUAUACAAUGUAGUGACUCAUAACUUUUAAAGGUUAUGCUCCAUUUAUCAUUAUGAUAAAAUAUCUGAAAAAGAAUGGAUAUAUGUAUGUAUAACUGAAUCACUUUGUAGUACACCUCUGUAUACCUGAAACGAAUACAACAUUGUAAAUCAACUGUACUUCAAUAAAAAAUGAAAAUUAAAAAAAUAACAAGCUACAAGGAAAUAUUGUACAUAUGGAGAAUAUAGCCAAUGUUCUAACCUAUUUCUUGAUGACACUUUGUCUCUAAAUUUGUUUUAGGUUAAAUUCUAAGGUUAACCAAUUCCCUGGAAUUCUUCAGCUGCAAAGAGCCUGUGAAGAUCCUUGACCACUUUGGUUCAAGUUAAGCCAUGCAUGAAUUGAACCUUCUUCAGAUUAUUUGCUUGUGCUCAAAGCACUGCAUUAAUCAGAGGAGGAGGCUUCAAUCUUGGACUUGUUCUCAGAGGCUCUGCUGCAUUGUGUUGCCUUUGAUGAAAAGCUUAAAAGGCAGAGAACAGGAAAUCCACUCUGAUUUCAUUGUUUGCUUUGAACAGUUCUUUCUUCUUUGGAACAAUACUGGUUUGCCUAAAAUGGCUAAUAAUCACUACUAUUUAUUGAACAUUAAUUCUGUGCCAGGCACUGCACAAAGUAGUUUCUAUACAUCUUUACAUUUCAUUUUCACACCAGUUCUCUGAAGGAGAUUUUAUUAUCCCCAUUCUACAGAAUAGGAAACUGAGACUGAGCGACCUGGGGGAAGCGGGGGGAACAAACUUCUCCUAUGGUCUCCUAGACAGAGGACCAAAGCUGGGGGUAACACAUGGAUCUGGUUCCGAGGCUUCUACUCCUAACCACUAAAUCAGAACCAAUUGCGGUCGAAGCCUGGGGGAGUUUGCAAAAGAGUAAGGGUAUCUUUUCACAUUUGCUGUAACAAUUUUUGAGACCUCUCAAAUUGUUGACUACCAAUUCCAUCCAUUGGUGCUGAACAACCAACACUUCUAUUUCUCGUUCGGUGUCUUUGUGUGUCAUUACUUAUUUUGGUCUCUGAAAUUUGAUUAUGUGAUUUUUGUACAAUGAAAAUAUGUUACCUUGGAAUAAUUGAUUCAGAGAGAUCAUUUUGAAGUAUGCAUGUAGCGCCUGGCAUUGGCAUGGAUUAUGGGCAAUGUAUGUAAUAUCCAGUUAAUUAGAAUUAUCUGUAUUGAAAGGAGCAUUGUGGUUCCAACAUGGGCUUUGGAAUUAAGCUUGACCAACUCCAAGCCCUUGAUCUAUGAUUUUGAGCAGUUGUAGAACCUCUCUGAUGCUCAAUUUCUUUAUCAUUUAAUUGAGGGUGGUGAUAACUCCUACCACACAGGCUUAUUUUGAGAGUUAAGCAAGAUAAUGCACCUUAGAUGUGAAGAUUAGUUGAAAUAAAAUGUGUCAAGUAUAUAAUACGGAGCCCAGGAAAUAGCACUUUUUUGGUAAAUCUCGACAACAUUAAUUUUUUUGUAAAAUUAAAAUUUUUUUGGAAGAAUCAGGACUAUCAGAUAUAUUUUCAUGUAUAGUAUAAUUAACUACAUACUAGUUGUUUAUAACCUACACAUUUCAAAAUAGGAUUUGAGAUUACUAGAUCAAUAUUUUAUCCAGUGGCUGGCUGGCCUCUAAGUAGCUCACUGCCUUUGAAUAUUUGGGAAGAAAAAUUAGUCUCUGUAGCCUGAAAUCAACUUACAAUUCCUUCUGGCAUUUUUUUCAUUAC